AUGACGGCCACAAACGCCUGUAUUUGCUGCGGCUGCGGCGCUUGGACCUCUCCAAGAUGGACUUUUUUCACCGGACAGCAGAAGAGGCGGCUGAACAUGGCAACACUGACGCCCGCCAAGGCCCGUGCCACCAACAGGCGAAGGACCUGCAACACCCAAGAUCCGGCGACGGUGGAGGCAGCGGCGCCCAAGAUCGUUCCGCCAAAACCCGAGCUGCUCAUGGGGCCGCCGCAAAUCUCCCCCUGCCUGGACUCCCGUCGCUUCGUCCAUUUCUUCCCCACCGCCUCGGAGAGCAAGGUCGUCUUGGGCGACCGCGGGAACCGCAUGUUACGCUUCAACAUCGCCAAUAGCUCCAGCUACGUCGACACCAUGCCAUGCCUCCACGGGGUCAAGGAGUUGCCGAUGGCCAUCUCCGUCCCUCCGACGGACUUACACCGCCCUGACGGCGAUGACACGGGCGACCUCUACAUCAUCGACGGCCUCCUCCAUCCGGACAAGGCGGAGGCGCGGCCGCAGUUCGAGGCCCUGGUGUGGAGGGGGUUCCGGCCAUCCGCCUUAUCUAGCAGGUUCUGGCACUGCGACAUCCUCCCGCUGCCGCCGUGGAUCAGCCACCACGAGCACGCCAUGGUCUUCGGCCACGCCCUCGUCGGCGACAGCAUCUGCUUCUCCAUCUGCGGCGCCGAGGGUGCCGGCACCUACUGCUUCCACAUCGCGACUCGUGAGUGGAGCAAAGCUGGGGACUGGCUCAUGCCCUUCAAUGGCAAGGCGGAUUACGUCCCUGAGCUUGGACUCUGGUUUGGCGUCUCAAACAACCUCCCCUGCGCUGCCGACCUCUCGGGCGUCGUUAGAGGGGAGGAGCUGUCGCCGGACAAGAUGCGGAUCUGGGCGCGUGAUGACCUGCCGGAGGAGUGGCAGCCAAAGAGCUUGCACAAUCCCUGUGUUGUCAGCCUCGGUUCCGGCAGGUUCAUCGUCGAGUCGUCGACUUCUUGGAUGCCAUGA
rnacentral:rRNA from 1 species